UUGAAUGUUUUUUUCCUGGUA
ensembl:piRNA 21ur-7629 ncRNA